UUCAUGCCGUAACAUGAAGCGAACUGCCCCGUAAGGCUGUAGUAAACUUAAUGUGGCUAU
rnacentral:sRNA from 12 species